rnacentral:misc_RNA from 1 species
GAAAUAUCGUCUCCUUUGAUGGAGGAUUUGGAUGAUAUUGAUGCACUAUUGAGCUUGGAAGACGAAGAUCACGAAGACCUUGAUGGAUCUGAAGAUGAAGAGAUCAGCACUGCAAGGUCUCAUCUGAAUUAUGGCAAUCGAUCCCCUGAUUCUUCAUCCUCCUCUUAUAGUUCAAAACCCAGGAAGAAUCAGUCAUUUAAUCCUGUCCACAAGUCGUCAAGCAGUGGAAGCAGCUGCAACAGUGAUGUGAAACAGUUGAAAGUAAAGAAAAUGGUGAGAAAACUGAGAGAGAUUCUCCCUGGUGGUUACCAAAUGACAACAGUCACCGUUCUGGACGAAGCUGUUAAAUACUUGAAAUCUCUGAAGGACGAAGUGCAGAAACUCGGAGUCGGGGGCUUGGAGAGCUAAGGCACAAGUAAUGCCAUCUGGUUGCAUCAGCUGUAGAAUUCUGUAAGGAUUCUCCCAUAUCUUGUGUCUCUCCCUGCCACCUAGUACAAAAUAAAAAGGUUAAAAUGUUUCAUGUCACAAAAGAUUAUUAGCGGCUUUUCUAAAUGUUGUUUCGAGUUUCAUAUGCUUGCAGACGAUGUGACUGUGGAACCAAGAUUUCUUGUCAGACUCCUGGACUAUGUUAAUUCAUGUUUUACUUCGGUAUCUAGAAGUUGAGGGAUUGAUCUGCCG